rnacentral:rRNA from 1 species
UACGUAGGGGGCGAGCGUUGUCCGGAAUUAUUGGGCGUAAAGAGCGUGUAGGCGGUUCGGUAAGUCUGCCGUGAAAACCUGGGGCUCAACCCUGGGCGUGCGGUGGAUACUGCCGGGCUAGAGGGUGGUAGAGGCGAGUGGAAUUCCCGGUGUAGCGGUGAAAUGCGCAGAUAUCAGGAGGAACACCAGCGGCGAAGGCGCUGCUCUGGGCCGGUACUGACGCUGAGGAGCGAAAGCGUGGGGAGCGAACAGG